rnacentral:rRNA from 1 species
CAAUAGCGUACAUUAAAGUUGUUGCAGUUAAAAAGCUCGUAGUUGGAUUUCGGGGCAGCCUGGCUGGUCCGCCGCAAGGCGAGUACUGGUCAGCCGCCCUUCCUCUCGAAAGCCCCGACUGCUCUUCGUUGCAGUGGUCGGGUAGUUCGGGACGUUUACUUUGAAAAAAUUAGAGUGUUCAAGGCAGGCCUACGCCUGAAUACAUUAGCAUGGAAUAAUGGAAGAGGACCUCGGUCCUAUUUUGUUGGUUUCCAGGGCCGAAGUAAUGAUUAAGAGGGACAGUUGGGGGCAUUCGUAUUUAAUUGUCAGAGGUGAAAUUCUCGGAUUUAUGAAAGACGAACAACUGCGAAAGCAUUUGCCAAGGAUGUUUUCAUUAA